AAUGUACAACUUUAGAUUUCUUGCAGUGUCAAUGCUGCUAGAUCCUAGGUUUAAGAAAGUAGCAUUCGGCAUUGAUGCAAAUGCAGAAAAUGCUAUACGAGCAUUGACAUCAGAGGCCAGCCAGCAUAAUGCGGAAUCCCAACCAGAGGCAACAACUUCACAGCACAUACAACAAACUGGGGCUAGUUGUGUGUGGUCUGAUUUUGACUCGAAGGUAAAACAGCAAAUAAACACUAAUGUGGAUACCAUCACUGAAGUGAAAUUGUACCUCUCGCAGCCAAAUAUUAGCAGAAUGUCUUCGGCAUUGGACUUUUGGAAAGAACAGGGACAAAAGUUCCCAAACUUACAGACACUUACAAAGAAAUACUUGGCCAUAAUGGCAACAUCUGUGCCAAGUGAGCGUGUAUUUUCGAAAUCUGGCGAGCUUAUUUCAAAACGCCGCUCUUGCCUAAAGAGCUCUCAGGUGAAAAGGAUGAUGUUUUUGCAUUACAAUAUGUAAUUGGUCUAGGUUAUGAGUGUGUUGAGGCCUAAAAAGGUUCUGUGUGUAAAGGCCUAAGAAAAGAUUUUAUGUGUGAAGGCCUAAAAGGUUCCGUGUGUAAAGGCUUAAAAAAAGAUUUUAUGUGUUAAGGCCUAAAAGGUUCCGUGUGUAAAGGCCUAAAAAAAGAUUUUAUGUGUGAAGGCCUAAACGGUUCUGUGUGUAAAGGCCUAAAAAAAGAUUUUAUGUGUGAAGGCCUAAAAGGUUCCGUGUGUAAAGGCUUAAAAAAAGAUUUUAUGUGUUAAGGCCUAAAAGGUUCCGUGUGUGAAGGCCUAAAAGGUUCCGUGUGUAAAGGCCUAAAAAAAGAUUUUAUGUGUGAAGGCCUAAAAGGUUCCGUGUGUAAAGGCUUAAAAAAAGAUUUUAUGUGUUAAAUCCUAAAAGGUUCCGUGUGUGAAGGCCUAAAAGGUUCCAUGUGUAAAGGCCUAAAAAGAUUUUGUGUAUGGCCUAAAAGGUUCCAUGUGUAAAGGCCUAAAAAAAGGUUCCAUGUGUAAAGGCCUAAAAGGUUCCAUGUGUAAAGGCCUAAAAAGAUUUUGUGUAUGGCCUAAAAGGUUCCAUGUGUAAAGGCCUAAAAGGUUCCAUGUGUAAAGGCCUAAAAAGAUUUUGUGUAUGGCCUAAAAGGUUCCAUGUGUAAAGGCCUAAAAAAAGGUUCCAUGUGUAAAGGCCUAAAAGGUUCCAUGUGUAAAGGCCUAAAAAGAUUUUGUGUAUGGCCUAAAAGGUUCCAUGUGUAAAGGCCUAAAAAAGAUUUUAUGUGUUAAGGCCUAAAAGGUUCCGUGUGUAAAGGCCUAAAAGGUUCCAUGUGUAAAGGCCUAAAAAGAUUUUGUGUAUGGCCUAAAAGGUUCCAUGUGUAAAGGCCUAAAAAAAGUUUUAUUUAUUAAAAGGACACGCUACUUUUUUGAAAAUAUGCUCAUUUUACAGCUCCCAUAGUGUUAAACAUUUCAUUUUUACUGUUUUGGAAUGCAUUCAGUUGAUCUUCGGGUCUGGCGGUACCACUUUUAUCAUAGCUUAGCAUAAUCCAUUGAAUCAGAUUAGACCAUUAGCAUCAUGCUCAAAAAUGACGAAAGUUGCUCAAUAUUUUUCCUAUUUAACACUUGACUGUUUUAGAAGAGUCAAGUUUUAAAUAGGAAAAAUAUCAAAACUCUUUGGUUAUUUUUUAGCACGAUUCUAAUGGUCUAAUCAGAUUAAAUGGGUUAUGCUAAACUAUGAUAAAAGUGGUACUGCCAAAACCGUAAAAAUCAAAUGUUUAACUCUAUGGGAGCUGGAAAAUGAGCAUAUUUUCAAAAAGUGAAGUGUUCUGUGUGUAAGGGCAUAAAAGUUUGUAUGUGUAAUGAGUCUGUUCCUGAACUGUUUUUAGGUUUAAAUGCUUUUAGGAAUUUUUGCUAUUUUAUGAUAUUGGAUGAAAUAUAUGUAGGCUGCCACAAAUAAAUUAAAAAUCUAUCCACAAA